rnacentral:hammerhead_ribozyme from 1 species
AUCCAGAUGACGAGUCUCAAAUAGGAUGAAAUGCACGUUAUCCUGGAU